rnacentral:rRNA from 1 species
AACGGCCUUUCUUCGGGCCGUAGGUUUGAACUUCGAUUCUGCUAAGGCGGGUU